UACGGAGGGUGCGAGCGUUAAUCGGAAUUACUGGGCGUAAAGCGCACGCAGGCGGUUUNUUAAGCUAGAUGUGAAAGCCCCNGGCUCAACCUGNGAUGGNCNUUUAGAACUGGCAGACUNGAGUUUUGGAGANGGGAGUGGAAUUCCAGGUGUAGCGGUGAAAUGCGUAGAUAUCUGGNNGAACAUCAGUGGCGAAGGCGNCUCCCUGGCCAAAGACUGACGCUCAUGUGCGAAAGNGUGGGUAGCGAACAGG
rnacentral:rRNA from 1 species